UUCUUUACGGAGGGAGUACUUAUUUCUGACAGACAUACAUGCUCUAUUUUUGAAGGAGAAGAUUGUACUUGCAGGAUCUAAAACCUAUUGAUUUUUGUCGAGGGACAGUCACGUGAGUGAUUGCACUAAAGAUACAGAGAAAAACUGACAUUUCUUCUUAAAUAUCGUAUUGAAGUUCUAUACUCAAUACUAUAGGGUGUACUGAAGGUCAACGUUGCACUUAGGCCGGUUGGGUUCUGAAUAUGCAAGAAAAGGAGGAAAAAUUAGCAAGGAUUACAGAUCUUGGUUCAAGAAAAAUGCUGACAAUAUGUUUUGGCGCAUAAUUAGCUCUGACAGGAAAAAUAUUGUAUCAGAAUUGCAGGAUUCUUCAAUCACCUCAUUAGCAUAUGCCAAAGCCUUGAGGUUACCACUACGAAUGAAGCAAAAUUGUGAAGAUGACUGGGAGAAUGAUUAGCUUAACUUGGCUAGCUUGCUUCAGGUGAAAGGCCGGAGAGGAUCUGGUCUGUGUUGGCCGCACCGAAGUGUGGGAAAAGCUGCGUGUAAGGUGGUGGAGAAGGAUGUCAACGAUGUGGACAUUGUCCCUCCGGUGAGGCUGGAAGCCGUCCAAGGGUGGAGGAGGUGCGCCUGUGUGACUCAGGUCAGCAGUGGGGCUUGCUUCCUCAUGGUUUGUUUAUUCGUUUUUUAUGCAGUACAUAUGCAACUUUGUGCUUGUUCAAUACUAUUGUCUAAAAAUACAGAAAUUUUUGGUGUCCAGUAAUGUGUUGCAAUUCUGUUAUCUUUCA